UUUAUUCAUAUUUUAAUUUUAUAUUAAUUUCUUAUUAAUUUUAUAGAAGUAACUUUAUUUUUAGUAUUUUUUAAAGAAUUAAUAUUUUUUAUUUAUAGUUAAUUUUACUGUGAAGGUUAAAUUUAUUAAUAAUUUAUAAGUAGAAUUUAUUUAUUUGUACCUUUUGUAUCAGGGUUUAUCAAUAUUUGUUUAUUUAUUAUUUAAAAUUCCCGAAUCUAGAAGAGAUAUUAUUAUUUGUUAUUUAAUGUUUAAAAAUUAUUAAUAAAUUAAUAAUAGGGGUUAUAUGCUAUUCAUUUUUAGUUAUCUGGUUUCUUAAUAGUUGAAUUUAAUUCAGGAUUAAUACUAAACUCCAAUUGAUCAAUUUAUUUUUGUUGUUUUUUAUAUUAAUCUAAAAUUUUAGGGGAUAAGCUCUAAGAUUUUUUUAUAAUUUAUUAUAUGUAUUAAAGUUUUAUAGGAUUAGAAAUUUCUAUUAUUUAUUUUGUUAUAAUAAUGCUUUAUUUAUUAUUUAUUUUUUUUAAAUUUAAUUUUAUAUUAAGAGUUUUUAAUUAUUUUUAUAUUAUAAGAUAUAAUGAUGGAAUUAGUAAAUUUUGUGAAUUUGUAUAUAGUAAUUCGGCAAAUUAAUUCUUCACCUGUUUAACAAAAACAUGUCUUAAUGUUAAUUAUAUUAAGUCUAACCUGCUCAAUGAUUUAUAAAAUUAAAUAGCCGCAGUAUUUUGACUGUGCGAAGGUAGCAUAAUCAUUUGUCUUUUAAUUGGAGGCUUGUAUGAAUGGUUUGAUGAGGGAAUUUCUUUCUUUAUACAAUUAAUUGAAUUUAAUUUUUAAGUUAAAAAGCUUAAAUUUUUAAAUGGGACGAGAAGACCCUAUAGAAUUUUAUUUUAUUUGUAAUUUUUAAUAUUUGGUGUAAUAUAUAUUAAUUAUUAUGGAUAAAAUUUUGUUGGGGUGACAGUGAGAUUUUUUAAACUCUUAUAAUAAUGUUUUAUUUAUUGAUAUUUUAAGGAUCCUUUAUUUUAGGAUAUAUAGAUUAAAUUACCUUAGGGAUAACAGCGUUAUUUUUCUGGAGAGUUCUUAUCGAUAGAGGAGUUUGCGACCUCGAUGUUGGAUUAAAAUAAGAUUUAAGUGCAGAAGCUUAAUUUCUAGGUCUGUUCGACCUUUAAAUUUUUACAUGAUCUGAGUUCAGACCGGCGUGAGCCAGGUCGGUUUCUAUCUUUUUAUAAUUAAUCUGUAAAUUAGUACGAAAGGACCUUUUACAGCAAAUUAUUUGUUAUUUAUUGAAUAAUUUUAA
rnacentral:rRNA from 1 species